GAAUUGAAAGUCCUUGGGGUAUAUGCACAUAAAUCUUUGCAAACAGCAGGACGCGGAGAGAAGACAGCUCAAAAAAGAAUGCAUAGAUAUUUCCCUGGAACCACAUCACCUCAUCAAGGACCUGAGAGAAGACGGAGAACAUAGCAACAUGACUAUAUGGGAAAAGUACAUGGCUCCUGACCAGAUCACACCAGCCACGGGAUUUGGAGAGAAAACAAUUCUUACCAGAUCGUAAGAACGGAAAGCUACAAUUUGUAUAAGAAUAAAGAGUAUCUGGUAUGUUCAUUUUUUGGUUUGUAAAACUACUUCAAUAAAGAACCAAUUAAGCUGGAAAUAGA